UACAGAGGUCCCAAGCGUUGUUCGGAUUCACUGGGCGUAAAGGGUGCGUAGGCGGUCGGGUAAGUCUGACGUGAAAUCUCGCGGCUCAACCGCGAAACUGCGUCGGAUACUAUCCGGCUUGAGGAGUGGAGGGGAGACUGGAAUUCUCGGUGUAGCAGUGAAAUGCGUAGAUAUCGAGAGGAACACCGGUGGCGAAGGCGGCGAUCUGGACGAUGACUGACGCUGAGACGCGAAAGCGUGGGGAGCAAACAGG
rnacentral:rRNA from 1 species